rnacentral:lncRNA from 1 species
UUUUUCACCUCUCCAUUCCAUAAAUAUGCUCCUUCUUUCACUAUACACAGAGCUGGAUAUACAUUUUAGAUCUAAAAGUACACUGAUUCUGUACUACUUUGGAGUCUCUCUCUUUUACUAUUAGAAAAGAACUCCUACUGGGUUUUCUCACUAUCUCCUGGGUUUCUGGCCUACUGGAAGAUGAUUUUGGUUUUCUGUGUUAGUUUGUUGCUAUUUCUAACUCAACUUUCAGAAAUCUAUUUUCUUUCUGAUUGUUUUCUUGCUGCUCUCUAGGUACUUUUCUUAACAAAAAGUGAAAGGUUUCAUUCUUUUGCUGAAAUAUGAUGGAAAUUUGUUGAUAAAAAUGUAGUUAGUUUGAAUAUUUCGUGAACCGUGUUAGUUUGAAGCUUGUUUGUUUGUUAUGUUGUAAAUUUGUCUACAAAUGUUUUAGCAAAUGUAUUAUUAUAAAAGUGU